rnacentral:rRNA from 1 species
UACGUAGGGGGCAAGCGUUGUCCGGAAUCAUUGGGCGUAAAGAGCGUGUAGGCGGUUCGGUAAGUCGGCUGUGAAAACCCGAGGCUCAACCUCGGGCCUGCAGUGGAUACUGUCAAGCUCGAGUCCGGAAGAGGAGUGUGGAAUUCCUGGUGUAGCGGUGAAAUGCGCAGAUAUCAGGAGGAACACCAAUGGCGAAGGCAGCACUCUGGGACGUGACUGACGCUGAGACGCGAAAGCGUGGGGAGCAAACAGG